CCGGAUAAGAACUCUCCUCCGAUCCCUAUUUAAUGUUUAUUAAAAUUUUGAAGGGAGACCGGAUAAGGACUCUCUUCCGAUCUCUUUCAGAUUAACAGGAGCCUGGAAGGGAUUUCUCCGAUCUCCCGGAUUUUUAAUUUCAACUACAUGACAUAAGAACCUAAAGCUAAGGAUUCUGGCGUUCUAAGAUGCUGGGGAUAAGGCUUCUCGAUACCUUUUGACUAGAUAGAGAAAACUAAACUUGAUUUACCGACCUUCCAUGCGUUCAUUUUACCAAUAUCUAUUAAUGACCGAUCUACUCUGUUUCGUUUACUUUGGUCUUAUUCCACUUUAUGACAUCUUUGUCGAAUUGCUGUUUACGUCGGCCUAAUAGUUUGGCUAUCUUCCUGACGUGUUAUUCAGGUCCUCUUUUUAAAGAAGACCUCUAAGUUGCAGCUACCUACGUUUACCCAACCAUUUACAUACUACAAAGAGUUAGAAAACUGGUUUUCAGAAAUGACGGAGAUCAAUAAAAUGAACUGAUCACUAAAAAAUGAUUUGAGAGUGACUUUCUUUGGGAUUGCUUGUGCAGAAAUGGUCUAGAUGUAAGAAGAACAAGGAAAAUACGGGAAAUAAACGUAGACGCUUAAUAAAACAGUAACAUGAACUCUUAUAACAAUAUUUUCUCUUGGGUUCUCUUGUACAAAAUAAUCUUGAAGAAAGUUGCAGAUGUAUGAAGAACAAAGGAAGUGCAGAAAAUAAACGUAAACAGCAGUAUGAACUCUUACCUGUGAGGAGCCGGGUCUACUAAAAUAGUUACGGGGUGGCAAACAGGGAUGAGACAGUGGACUGAUUAGCCUGAGGGUGGUGUUCUUCGUGAACUAGAGGGUACUUAGCUAAAACGCGAUCAGAUCAAGAUAAAAAGAAAUGAGUGAUAUGAAGUUGAGCUUGGACAGUGAAAACAGAGAUGAUAAAAGGCAGAAAGUGAGAUUAUGACCAGAUAAUGAACAAACUGGA
rnacentral:misc_RNA from 1 species